AAAAUUAUGAAAAAUUAAACUAAGUUAGGUGGAGUCAGGACAUCAUCAUCCCCCUAAAAGAUUUCAAAAAUAAUGAAAAUUGGUUAUUGAAUUAAUUGAAUCAAAACAAAGGCCAAACCAAGAGUCCAACAACAAGACUAGGUUGGAAAUAAAUCAAGAAUAAAUUAAAAAUGAGAAAUAAAAUUCCAAUAAAAGGUCAAGUUGACUAUGAGACAUUGGUCAACCCUCAUC
rnacentral:lncRNA from 1 species